CAUGAAUGAGAUAAGGCAGCAGAGAUGUUCAUACUUGCGUUUGCGGCUAUGCAAAAAGGGUGAUCCCUCAGGCAUGCAUUUUAUGUCAUAUAUGGUCGAGGACAAAACGCCUGGAGGUCUCUCUUAUGUUGAGUUCCUUGUACAUGUUCACCGGCAAAUUCAAACCAAAGUGGCUUGAUCCACAGAUGUAUGCUAG